rnacentral:lncRNA from 1 species
UACAAUAAUUGUUCGAAUCAAAUAGGACAUAGAAAAGUAAAACAAAGAUACAUCAUGGGCCAAUGCGCCGCCCAUCCAACUGCCAGUGGUGCUCUACUAGAUCAUCCCGGAGCCAAUUCGUGGUUAUCACAACAAUCCUGACAUCUCUGUCUCAGCCAUACCAACAAUCAAGCAAUCCAUACAUCUUUGUCUCAGGUAUGUCUAGGAACAAGAAAUUGCAAUACUUCCAAUUCGUGGUUAUGACAGACAUACAACAAUCAGAC